AGAGUUUGAUCAUGGCUCAGAACGAACGCUGGCGGCGUUAACACAUGCAAGUCGCGGNNCAGUUUCCGUAGCAAUACGGGGAUGGGCGCACGGCGCACGGGUGCGUAACACGUGGCAAUCUGCCCUCCGAUGGGGAAUACCCCCGCGAAAGCGGGACUAAUUCCGCAUAACAUUCCUUGGAUUAACUUUCGAGGAUUCAAAGCAGCAAUGCGUCGGAGGAGGAGCCCGCGCCCGAUUAGCUAGUUGGUGAGGUAACGGCCCACCAAGGCAAUGAUCGGUAGCUGGUCUGAGAGGAUGGCCAGCCACACUGGAACUGAGACACGGUCCAGACUCCUACGGGAGGCAGCAGUGGGGAAUCUUGCACAAUGGGCGAAAGCCUGAUGCAGCGACGCCGCGUGGGGGAUGAAGCUUUUCGGAGUGUAAACCCCUUUCGACUGGGACGAAUGCCUCGCAAGAGGAGUGACGGUACCAGUAUAAGAAGCCCCGGCUAACUACGUGCCAGCAGCCGCGGUAAGACGUAGGGGGCCAGCGUUGUUCGGAAUUACUGGGUGUAAAGGGUUCGUAGGCGGUGUGGCAAGUCGGGAGUGAAAUCUCUGGGCUCAACCCAGAGACUGCUUCCGAAACUGCUGUGCUUGAGUGUGAGAGAGGCUCGUGGAAUUGCAGGUGUAGCGGUGAAAUGCGUAGAUAUCUGCAGGAACACCCGUGGCGAAAGCGGCGAGCUGGAUCACUACUGACGCUGAGGAACGAAAGCUAGGGGAGCAAACAGGAUUAGAUACCCUAGUAGUCC
rnacentral:rRNA from 1 species